AUUGAACGCUGACGGCAUGCUUUACACAUGCAAGUCGAACGGCAGCGAGGAGAAGCUUGCUUCUCUGUCGGCGAGUGGCGAACGGGUGAGUAUAGCAUCGGAACGUGCCAAGUAGUGGGGGAUAACCAAACGAAAGUUUGGCUAAUACCGCGUAAGCUCCAAGGAGGAAAGUAGGGGACCUAAAUAAGGCCUUACGCUAUUUGAUCGGCCGAUGUCGGAUUAGCUAGUUGGUGGGGUAAUGGCUCACCAAGGCAAUGAUCCGUAGCGGGUCUGAGAGGACGAUCCGCCACACUGGGACUGAGACACGGCCCAGACUCCUACGGGAGGCAGCAGUGGGGAAUUUUGGACAAUGGGGGAAACCCUGAUCCAGCCAUGCCGCGUGUAUGAAGAAGGCCUUAGGGUUGUAAAGUACUUUUGUUAGGGAAGAAAAGCUAGUUUUUAAUAAAAAUUAGUGAUGACGGUACCUAAAGAAUAAGCACCGGCUAACUACGUGCCAGCAGCCGCGGUAAUACGUAGGGUGCAAGCGUUAAUCGGAAUUAUUGGGCGUAAAGCGAGUGCAGACGGUUACUUAAGCCAGAUGUGAAAUCCCCAAGCUUAACUUGGGACGUGCAUUUGGAACUGGGUGACUAGAGUGUGUCAGAGGGAGGUAGAAUUCCACAUGUAGCGGUGGAAUGCGUAGAGAUGUGGAGGAAUACCGAUGGCGAAGGCAGCCUCCUGGGAUAACACUGACGUUGAGGCUCGAAAGCGUGGGGAGCAAACAGGAUUAGAUACCCUGGUAGUCCACGCCCUAAACGAUGACAAUUAGCUGUUGGGCUUUGAAAGGCUUAGUAGCGAAGCUAACGCGAGAAAUUGUCCGCCUGGGGAGUACGGUCGCAAGAUUAAAACUCAAAGGAAUUGACGGGGACCCGCACAAGCGGUGGAUGAUGUGGAUUAAUUCGAUGCAACGCGAAGAACCUUACCUGGUCUUGGCAUGUACGGAAUUUUUUAGAGAUAAAAAAGUGCCUUCGGGAACCGUAACACAGGUGCUGCAUGGCUGUCGUCUGCUCGUGUCGUGAGAUGUUGGGUUAAGUCCCGCAACGAGCGCCACCCUUGUUAUUAGUUGCCAUCAUUUGGUUGGUGCACUCUAAUGAGACUGCCGGUGAUAAGCCGGAAGUAAGUGGGGAUUAUGUUCAGCCCUCAUGGCCCUUAUGACCUAUGCUUCCCACUUCUUACAUUGGCUAGUUCAGAAGGUCUCUCUAGCCAUAUUGUGGUAGCCCAUUUCCAGAAAGCCUAUCGUUAUUCCGGAUUGUUUUCCUCUAUUCUUUCUACUCAAGUCUUAAUCCCCUUUAAACG
rnacentral:rRNA from 1 species